GGGUUGUGAGGUUAAGCGACUAAGCGUACACGGUGGAUGCCCUGGCAGUCAGAGGCGAUGAAGGACGUGCUAAUCUGCGAUAAGCGUCGGUGAGGUGAUAUGAACCGUUAUAACCGGCGAUUUCCGAAUGGGGAAACCCAGUGUGUUUCGACACACUAUCAUUAACUGAAUCCAUAGGUUAAUGAGGCGAACCGGGGGAACUGAAACAUCUAAGUACCCCGAGGAAAAGAAAUCAACCGAGAUUCCCCCAGUAGCGGCGAGCGAACGGGGAGGAGCCCAGAGCCUGAAUCAGUGUGUGUGUUAGUGGAAGCGUCUGGAAAGGCGUGCGAUACAGGGUGACAGCCCCGUACACAAAAAUGCACAUAUUGUGAGCUCGAUGAGUAGGGCGGGACACGUGGUAUCCUGUCUGAAUAUGGGGGGACCAUCCUCCAAGGCUAAAUACUCCUGACUGACCGAUAGUGAACCAGUACCGUGAGGGAAAGGCGAAAAGAACCCCGGCGAGGGGAGUGAAAAAGAACCUGAAACCGUGUACGUACAAGCAGUGGGAGCCUCUUAAUGGGGUGACUGCGUACCUUUUGUAUAAUGGGUCAGCGACUUAUAUUCUGUAGCAAGGUUAACCGAAUAGGGGAGCCGAAGGGAAACCGAGUCUUAACUGGGCGUUAAGUUGCAGGGUAUAGACCCGAAACCCGGUGAUCUAGCCAUGGGCAGGUUGAAGGUUGGGUAACACUAACUGGAGGACCGAACCGACUAAUGUUGAAAAAUUAGCGGAUGACUUGUGGCUGGGGGUGAAAGGCCAAUCAAACCGGGAGAUAGCUGGUUCUCCCCGAAAGCUAUUUAGGUAGCGCCUCGUGAAUUCAUCUCCGGGGGUAGAGCACUGUUUCGGCAAGGGGGUCAUCCCGACUUACCAACCCGAUGCAAACUGCGAAUACCGGAGAAUGUUAUCACGGGAGACACACGGCGGGUGCUAACGUCCGUCGUGAAGAGGGAAACAACCCAGACCGCCAGCUAAGGUCCCAAAGUCAUGGUUAAGUGGGAAACGAUGUGGGAAGGCCCAGACAGCCAGGAUGUUGGCUUAGAAGCAGCCAUCAUUUAAAGAAAGCGUAAUAGCUCACUGGUCGAGUCGGCCUGCGCGGAAGAUGUAACGGGGCUAAACCAUGCACCGAAGCUGCGGCAGCGACACUAUGUGUUGUUGGGUAGGGGAGCGUUCUGUAAGCCUGUGAAGGUGGCCUGUGAGGGUUGCUGGAGGUAUCAGAAGUGCGAAUGCUGACAUAAGUAACGAUAAAGCGGGUGAAAAGCCCGCUCGCCGGAAGACCAAGGGUUCCUGUCCAACGUUAAUCGGGGCAGGGUGAGUCGACCCCUAAGGCGAGGCCGAAAGGCGUAGUCGAUGGGAAACAGGUUAAUAUUCCUGUACUUGGUGUUACUGCGAAGGGGGGACGGAGAAGGCUAUGUUGGCCGGGCGACGGUUGUCCCGGUUUAAGCGUGUAGGCUGGUUUUCCAGGCAAAUCCGGAAAACCAAGGCUGAGGCGUGAUGACGAGGCACUACGGUGCUGAAGCGACAAAUGCCCUGCUUCCAGGAAAAGCCUCUAAGCAUCAGGUAACAUCAAAUCGUACCCAAAACCGACACAGGUGGUCAGGUAGAGAAUACCAAGGCGCUUGAGAGAACUCGGGUGAAGGAACUAGGCAAAAUGGUGCCGUAACUUCGGGAGAAGGCACGCUGAUAUGUAGGUGAAGCGACUUGCUCGUGGAGCUGAAAUCAGUCGAAGAUACCAGCUGGCUGCAACUGUUUAUUAAAAACACAGCACUGUGCAAACACGAAAGUGGACGUAUACGGUGUGACGCCUGCCCGGUGCCGGAAGGUUAAUUGAUGGGGUUAGCGGUAACGCGAAGCUCUUGAUCGAAGCCCCGGUAAACGGCGGCCGUAACUAUAACGGUCCUAAGGUAGCGAAAUUCCUUGUCGGGUAAGUUCCGACCUGCACGAAUGGCGUAAUGAUGGCCAGGCUGUCUCCACCCGAGACUCAGUGAAAUUGAACUCGCUGUGAAGAUGCAGUGUACCCGCGGCAAGACGGAAAGACCCCGUGAACCUUUACUAUAGCUUGACACUGAACAUUGAGCCUUGAUGUGUAGGAUAGGUGGGAGGCUUUGAAGUGUGGACGCCAGUCUGCAUGGAGCCGACCUUGAAAUACCACCCUUUAAUGUUUGAUGUUCUAACGUUGGCCCGUAAUCCGGGUUGCGGACAGUGUCUGGUGGGUAGUUUGACUGGGGCGGUCUCCUCCUAAAGAGUAACGGAGGAGCACGAAGGUUGGCUAAUCCUGGUCGGACAUCAGGAGGUUAGUGCAAUGGCAUAAGCCAGCUUGACUGCGAGCGUGACGGCGCGAGCAGGUGCGAAAGCAGGUCAUAGUGAUCCGGUGGUUCUGAAUGGAAGGGCCAUCGCUCAACGGAUAAAAGGUACUCCGGGGAUAACAGGCUGAUACCGCCCAAGAGUUCAUAUCGACGGCGGUGUUUGGCACCUCGAUGUCGGCUCAUCACAUCCUGGGGCUGAAGUAGGUCCCAAGGGUAUGGCUGUUCGCCAUUUAAAGUGGUACGCGAGCUGGGUUUAGAACGUCGUGAGACAGUUCGGUCCCUAUCUGCCGUGGGCGCUGGAGAACUGAGGGGGGCUGCUCCUAGUACGAGAGGACCGGAGUGGACGCAUCACUGGUGUUCGGGUUGUCAUGCCAAUGGCACUGCCCGGUAGCUAAAUGCGGAAGAGAUAAGUGCUGAAAGCAUCUAAGCACGAAACUUGCCCCGAGAUGAGUUCUCCCUGACUCCUUGAG
rnacentral:rRNA from 1 species